rnacentral:rRNA from 1 species
CUACGGGCGGCUGCAGUGGGGAAUAUUGGACAAUGGGGGAAACCCUGAUCCAGCAAUGCCGCGUGUGUGAAGAAGGCCUGCGGGUUGUAAAGCACUUUCGGUUGGGAGGACUGCUUCUAGCACUAAUAUUGUUGGAAGUUGACGUUACCUUCAGAAGAAGCACCGGCUAACUCCGUGCCAGCAGCCGCGGUAAUACGGAGGGUGCAAGCGUUAAUCGGAAGUACUGGGCGUAAAGCGCGCGUAGGCGGCUAAAUCAGUCGGGUGUGAAAGCCCCGGGCUUAACCUGGGCACUGCAUCCGAUACUGUCUAGCUUGAGUACAGGAGAGGAGAGUGGAAUUCCACAUGUAGCGGUGAAAUGCGUAGAGAUGUGGAGGAACACCAAUGGCGAAGGCAUCGCUCUGGCCUGAUACUGACGCUGAGGCGCGAAAGCGUGGGGAGCAAACAGGAUUAGAUACCCUAGUAGUC